UAUCAUUAACUGAAUCCAUAGGUUAAUGAGGCGAACCGGGGGAACUGAAACAUCUAAGUACCCCGAGGAAAAGAAAUCAACCGAGAUUCCCCCAGUAGCGGCGAGCGAACGGGGAGCAGCCCAGAGCCUGAAUCAGUGUGUGUGUUAGUGGAAGCGUCUGGAAAGGCGUGCGAUACAGGGUGACAGCCCCGUACACAAAAAUGCACAUAUUGUGAGCUCGAUGAGUAGGGCGGGACACGUGGUAUCCUGUCUGAAUAUGGGGGGACCAUCCUCCAAGGCUAAAUACUCCUGACUGACCGAUAGUGAACCAGUACCGUGAGGGAAAGGCGAAAAGAACCCCGGCGAGGGGAGUGAAAAAGAACCUGAAACCGUGUACGUACAAGCAGUGGGAGCACGCUUAGGCGUGUGACUGCGUACCUUUUGUAUAAUGGGUCAGCGACUUAUAUUCUGUAGCAAGGUUAACCGAAUAGGGGAGCCGAAGGGAAACCGAGUCUUAACUGGGCGUUAAGUUGCAGGGUAUAGACCCGAAACCCGGUGAUCUAGCCAUGGGCAGGUUGAAGGUUGGGUAACACUAACUGGAGGACCGAACCGACUAAUGUUGAAAAAUUAGCGGAUGACUUGUGGCUGGGGGUGAAAGGCCAAUCAAACCGGGAGAUAGCUGGUUCUCCCCGAAAGCUAUUUAGGUAGCGCCUCGUGAAUUCAUCUCCGGGGGUAGAGCACUGUUUCGGCAAGGGGGUCAUCCCGACUUACCAACCCGAUGCAAACUGCGAAUACCGGAGAAUGUUAUCACGGGAGACACACGGCGGGUGCUAACGUCCGUCGUGAAGAGGGAAACAACCCAGACCGCCAGCUAAGGUCCCAAAGUCAUGGUUAAGUGGGAAACGAUGUGGGAAGGCCCAGACAGCCAGGAUGUUGGCUUAGAAGCAGCCAUCAUUUAAAGAAAGCGUAAUAGCUCACUGGUCGAGUCGGCCUGCGCGGAAGAUGUAACGGGGCUAAACCAUGCACCGAAGCUGCGGCAGCGACACUAUGUGUUGUUGGGUAGGGGAGCGUUCUGUAAGCCUGUGAAGGUGUACUGUGAGGUAUGCUGGAGGUAUCAGAAGUGCGAAUGCUGACAUAAGUAACGAUAAAGCGGGUGAAAAGCCCGCUCGCCGGAAGACCAAGGGUUCCUGUCCAACGUUAAUCGGGGCAGGGUGAGUCGACCCCUAAGGCGAGGCCGAAAGGCGUAGUCGAUGGGAAACAGGUUAAUAUUCCUGUACUUGGUGUUACUGCGAAGGGGGGACGGAGAAGGCUAUGUUGGCCGGGCGACGGUUGUCCCGGUUUAAGCGUGUAGGCUGGUUUUCCAGGCAAAUCCGGAAAACUAAGGCUGAGGCGUGAUGACGAGGCACUACGGUGCUGAAGCAACAAAUGCCCUGCUUCCAGGAAAAGCCUCUAAGCAUCAGGUAACAUCAAAUCGUACCCCAAACCGACACAGGUGGUCAGGUAGAGAAUACCAAGGCGCUUGAGAGAACUCGGGUGAAGGAACUAGGCAAAAUGGUGCCGUAACUUCGGGAGAAGGCACGCUGAUAUGUAGGUGAAGUCCCUCGCGGAUGGAGCUGAAAUCAGUCGAAGAUACCAGCUGGCUGCAACUGUUUAUUAAAAACACAGCACUGUGCAAACACGAAAGUGGACGUAUACGGUGUGACGCCUGCCCGGUGCCGGAAGGUUAAUUGAUGGGGUCAGCGCAAGCGAAGCUCUUGAUCGAAGCCCCGGUAAACGGCGGCCGUAACUAUAACGGUCCUAAGGUAGCGAAAUUCCUUGUCGGGUAAGUUCCGACCUGCACGAAUGGCGUAAUGAUGGCCAGGCUGUCUCCACCCGAGACUCAGUGAAAUUGAACUCGCUGUGAAGAUGCAGUGUACCCGCGGCAAGACGGAAAGACCCCGUGAACCUUUACUAUAGCUUGACACUGAACAUUGAGCCUUGAUGUGUAGGAUAGGUGGGAGGCUUUGAAGUGUGGACGCCAGUCUGCAUGGAGCCGACCUUGAAAUACCACCCUUUAAUGUUUGAUGUUCUAACGUUGACCCGUAAUCCGGGUUGCGGACAGUGUCUGGUGGGUAGUUUGACUGGGGCGGUCUCCUCCUAAAGAGUAACGGAGGAGCACGAAGGUUGGCUAAUCCUGGUCGGACAUCAGGAGGUUAGUGCAAUGGCAUAAGCCAGCUUGACUGCGAGCGUGACGGCGCGAGCAGGUGCGAAAGCAGGUCAUAGUGAUCCGGUGGUUCUGAAUGGAAGGGCCAUCGCUCAACGGAUAAAAGGUACUCCGGGGAUAACAGGCUGAUACCGCCCAAGAGUUCAUAUCGACGGCGGUGUUUGGCACCUCGAUGUCGGCUCAUCACAUCCUGGGGCUGAAGUAGGUCCCAAGGGUAUGGCUGUUCGCCAUUUAAAGUGGUACGCGAGCUGGGUUUAGAACGUCGUGAGACAGUUCGGUCCCUAUCUGCCGUGGGCGCUGGAGAACUGAGGGGGGCUGCUCCUAGUACGAGAGGACCGGAGUGGACGCAUCACUGGUGUUCGGGUUGUCAUGCCAAUGGCACUGCCCGGUAGCUAAAUGCGGAAGAGAUAAGUGCUGAAAGCAUCUAAGCACGAAACUUGCCCCGAGAUGAGUUCUCCCUGACUCCUUGAGAGUCCUGAAGGAACGUUGAAGACGACGACGUUGAUAGGCCGGGUGUGUAAGCGCAGCGAUGCGUUGAGCUAACCGGUACUAAUGAACCGUGAGGCUUAACCUUACAACGCCGAAGGUGUUU
rnacentral:rRNA from 1 species